rnacentral:rRNA from 1 species
CGCUGGCGGCGUGCCAAUACAUGCAAGUCGAACGGUCUUUCUAUGGAAGCUUGCUUCCACUGAGAAGAUAGUGGCGAACGGGUGAGUAACACGUGGGUAACCUGCCCAUAAGAGGGGGGAUAACAUCCGGAAACGGGUGCUAAUACCGCAUAGUUUUCUUGAUCGCAUGAUUGAGAAAGGAAAGACGGCCUUUGUGCUGUCGCUUAUGGAUGGACCCGCGGCGUAUUAGUUAGUUGGUGAGGUAACGGCUCACCAAGACGAUGAUACGUAGCCGACCUGAGAGGGUGAUCGGCCACAUUGGGACUGAGACACGGCCCAAACUCCUACGGGAGGCAGCAGUAGGGAAUCUUCCGCAAUGGACGAAAGUCUGACGGAGCAACGCCGCGUGAGUGAAAGAAGGUUUUCGGAUCGUAAAACUCUGUUGUCAGAGAAGAACAAGUUGGAGAGUAACUGCUCCAGCCUUCGACGGUACCUCUGACCACGUAAGGCCACGGCUACUACGUGCCAGCCGCCGC